UACGUAGGGGGCAAGCGUUGUCCGGAUUUAUUGGGCGUAAAGAGCGUGUAGGCGGCCAGACAGGUCAGCUGUGAAAACUCGAGGCUCAACCUCGAGACGUCGGUUGAAACCGUUUGGCUAGAGUCCGGAAGAGGAGAGUGGAAUUCCCGGUGUAGCGGUGAAAUGCGCAGAUAUCGGGAAGAACACCCGUGACGAAGGCGGCUCUCUGGGACGGUACUGACGCUGAGACGCGAAAGCGUGGGGAGCGAACAGG
rnacentral:rRNA from 1 species